rnacentral:rRNA from 1 species
UGGGGAAUAUUGGACAAUGGGCGAAAGCCUGAUCCAGCCAUGCCGCGUGUGUGAAGAAGGCCUUUUGGUUGUAAAGCACUUUAAGUGGGGAGGAAAAGCUUAUGGUUAAUACCCAUAAGCCCUGACGUUACCCACAGAAUAAGCACCGGCUAACUCUGUGCCAGCAGCCGCGGUAAUACAGAGGGUGCAAGCGUUAAUCGGAAUUACUGGGCGUAAAGCGCGCGUAGGUGGUUAUUUAAGUCAGAUGUGAAAGCCCCGGGCUUAACCUGGGAACUCCAUCUGAUACUGGAUAACUAGAGUAGGUGAGAGGGGAGUAGAAUUCCAGGUGUAGCGGUGAAAUGCGUAGAGAUCUGGAGGAAUACCGAUGGCGAAGGCAGCUCCCUGGCAUCAUACUGACACUGAGGUGCGAAAGCGUGGGUAGCAAACAGGAUUAGAUACCCUGGUAGUCCACGCCGUAAACGAUGUCUACCAGUCGUUGGGUCUUUUAAAGACUUAGUGACGCAGUUAACGCAAUAAGUAGACCGCCUGGGGAGUACGGCCGCAAGGUU